ensembl:lncRNA
GGACGGGUUCCUCAAAACUGUUGUGUUUCCACACCACUUAGCAUGAACAUAUGCUGACCUUUAUGCUCUGCAUCUAUCGAUUGAGUAAGUUACAUUCAUAUAUGUUACCCGUUUACAUGUCAUGGCAAAACAUUCAACCUCAGUGACACAAGGGUACAUGUGAUGAUACAUUGUCAACAUUGCAUGUCUGUCAGACUCUAGAGUGUCUGGUGGAAUGGAGAAAGAGGCACCACUGUACAGUUUUCUAGUGAAAGUCGUUCACUGCUUUACAUAAAGCAUAUCAGCUGUUUCAAAGUCCCAACCAAUUGUCUUCCUAAAAUACUGGUCCUUCCGUAUAACAAUAACCUCGUAUGUGAUUGGAGGACCCUCAGACUCCUCGUCCAAUCACGUGUGAGGUCAUAGGCAUGACUCAGACAGCAGUACUUGCAAGACGAGCAUACAAACAGACAUAUUCAGAAGAACUGUAUCUCCAGUUCCUUUGUUUGGUUUUUGCUGCUUCGUAAAUAAUGGCGGGACGACGUCUCGCCUUCAACUCGCCUUCAACUCCUCUCCGCGGUCACCAACUUUCGGCCAGUCCGCAGACAGACGAGAAGAAGCUGCUGAAAGCUCUCAGUGGAUCGUCUCGUCAACUCCAACAACAAACUGCUGAUAUCAGCGAGCGGUUCGCUCCACUGGAGCGUUCGGGACUCUGCGGGUUUCUGUCCAUGGAGGAGAGGAACCGACUCAAAGAAGAGGAGACGGGAGCACGAUCCCAAGAUAGGGGUAAGAAUACGUUCGAUGACUGCAAGCUAAGCUAACAGCUAAGAGUAGCCUAGUAGCCUUACAAGUGAGCAGAAACAGCUUUAUUAAAGUGUGUUUUCUUUGCCGUGUCGUUUACAGGAAGCGAUGCGCCGUCUUCACAACGCCGAGACGAAUUACAGGCGCUACGAACCGGAGCAAGGACUAAUCUCGCCUCAUAAUGAGGCGGUGACCUCGUAUUUGCUCCGGGAAAAGUCCAGAUUUAGACGACGUCAUUGUGUCCGCCUGUAAGACGGAUUGUGAGACGAUAUGCAGGAGCUUCAGGUUCAGCCGGAACACUCAUUGCGGGCGGAAGCUGCGAAGGAUUCAGCGCGGAGUCGAGCGAGAAGAAAGAGGCUGCUGGAAUCGAGACAAAGUGUGCUGGCUGAUGACGAGGUGGAACUCUGGAAAUCCACCACCGUGGAGCUCACGUCGGAUGGAGGGGACGGCGUUGUUGGCGGGGUCUCGGGUGGAUCGUACGGUCGCCACACACACACGAGCCGCAUGCACAACAGACCUGCAUUGGAAAACUCGCCGCCAGUGACGGUCUACGACCCCGAGGAGGCAAAAGUUUACUGAGCUGUAGUUUUUAAACCGCCGUUACCCAAGUGUGGGCAGAUCCUCACUUUGUAUGUAGUUGUUGUUUGUGUGUUGUUAAUAAAGCUCUUUCUUUGCAUAAACAUGUGGCAAAUGUUCAUUUUCUCUAUAAAUUCAUUGAUGUCCUGGUUGGUAUCCUAAUAAUAGUGUAGUAGCCUACAUAGGAUGACCAUGAAAUGAAUAUACAG